AAGUCGUAACAAGGUUUCCGUAGGUGAACCUGCGGAAGGAUCAUUACCACGUUUUGAUGCGUAUCAACCAACCGCGAAUUGUUUUCAACCUCUCCCAACAUAGAGAAUGAGCUGGAAUAGCAAACGUGUGCGUGCGGAUCUUCGGAUCAGCGAAUGCUAAACAUUUAUCUUCGGAUAGACAGCUGUAUUUCUGUGUGUGGCUUAUCUCUGUACCUUGGUUUCCGUUCCGAUCGUGGGUACAGGGAGUCCUUUUAUAUUAACGAUACAAACCGCUUUUUGCUAGUUGACUUUUUAUAUGUUGUUCUUUUUGUUUCGGCAAGGGGAACACACGUUUAUUUAUUUGAACGUUAAAAAUACAACUCUUAGCAAUGGAUAUCUUGGUUCUC
rnacentral:misc_RNA from 1 species